UCGGGGUAUAGCGUAGCCUGGUAGCGCGGCGGUUUUGGGUACCGCAGGUCGGAGGUUCGAAUCCUCCUGCCCCGACCAC
rnacentral:tRNA from 1 species